rnacentral:rRNA from 1 species
GACGAACGCUGGCGGCGUGCUUAACACAUGCAAGUCGAGCGGUAAGGCCCUUUCGGGGGUACACGAGCGGCGAACGGGUGAGUAACACGUGGGUGACCUGCCCUCAGCUCUGGGAUAAGCCUGGGAAACCGGGUCUAAUACUGGAUAUGACUCCAUGACGCAUGUUGUGGGGUGGAAAGCCUUGUGCGGCUGAGGAUGGGCCCGCGGCCUAUCAGCUUGUUGGUGGGGUGAGGCCUACCAAGGCGACGACGGGUAGCCGGCCUGAGAGGGCGACCGGCCACACUGGGACUGAGACACGGCCCAGACUCCUACGGGAGGGCAGCAGUGGGGGAAUCUUGCGCAAUGGGCGAAAGCCUGACGCAGCGACG